rnacentral:lncRNA from 10 species
UGUCCGUUUUUGCUUUGGUUGCCUGUGUUGGGGUAUUACUCUAGAAAUCUUUGCCCAGACCAAUGUCCUGGAGAGUUUCCCCAAAGUCUUGUAGUUUCAUAGUUUGAAGUCUUAGAUUUAAGCCUUUAACUGAUAUUGAUUUAAUUUUUGUAUAUGGCAAGAAAUAGAGGGUCUAUUUUCAUUCUUCUGCGUAUGGAUUUCCAGAUUUCCCAGCACCACUUAUUGAAGAGACUGUCUUUUCCUCAGUAUAGGUUCUUUGUUGAAAAUGGGUUCACUGUAGGUGUGUGGAUUUGUUUCUGGGUUCUUUAUUCUGUUCCACUGGUCUAUGUGUCUGUUUUUAUGCCAGUACCAUGCUGUUUUGGUGAUAUAGCUCUGUAGUA